rnacentral:lncRNA from 1 species
GUUCAAAUUAAGCAUUACGUCUUUCAGAAUUUAAUAAUACAUUAAUACUCAAUAAGGAUGUAUUUUACAAAGGAGAAAGAAUUAAUGUAAUAAAUGUAAACUAGGUUCUGCGAACUUGACGAGAAAAGGAAGCUCAGAGCACUGCAGAAGUAUGCGAAUUUAUUUAAGAGGAUGAUGAUUUUGAAUAUCAGCAAACAGCAGUUAACUGGAAGGAAGAUGUCUUCUUGAAGUUAUGAUAGCAGCAGUCAAGGUACCAUAGCAAUCAGAUAUAAUGUAAUAAUUAUAAGUUAAUCUGUAUGUCGAGCAGUAAGCGAGUUUAUUUUAUUAAUUAUAAAAGUAUCUAAAUUUCAUCUCUUCUGCUAAGAAUGCAAAUACUGUGAAACAUUGCCCACUUUUCUACUUGUUAUGUAAUAGUUGUAUUUUGUAAGCUGCAGGCAAACGCAGUAGCAUUUUCACUGUAAAUUAAUUUUAGUUGCUGUACCAAGAAUAGAUACCAGUAAAUGAUUUAAUUUCAA